AGGACGAACGCUGGCGGCGUGCUUAACACAUGCAAGUGGAGCGACGAACCAGGGCUUGCCCUGGGGCAGAGCCGCGAACGGGUGAGUAACACGUGGGUUACCUGCCUUGAUGACCGGGACAACCCGAGGAAACUCGGGCUAAUACCGGAUGUGCCCGCAAGGGGAAAGGAAGCUUCGGCCUCCGCAUCAAGAUGGGCCCGCGGCCCAUUAGCUUGUUGGUGAGGUAACGGCUCACCAAGGCUUCGAUGGGUAGCUGGUCUGAGAGGACGAUCAGCCACACUGGGACUGAGACACGGCCCAGACUCCUACGGGGGGCAGCAGUGAGGAAUUUUCGUCAAUGGGGGCAACCCUGAACGAGCAACGCCGCGUGCAGGAUGACGCUUUUCGGAGUGUAAACUGCUUUUCUCGGGGAAGAGCAAGGACGGUACCCGAGGGAAUCAGCCCCGGCUAACUACGUGCCAGCAGCCGC
rnacentral:rRNA from 1 species